rnacentral:rRNA from 1 species
GACGAACGCUGGCGGCGUGCUUAACACAUGCAAGUCGAACGGUGAAGCUCCAGCUUGCUGGAGUGGAUCAGUGGCGAACGGGUGAGUAACACGUGAGCAACCUGCCCCUGACUCUGGAAUAAGCGCUGGAAACGGCGUCUAAUACUGGAUACGAGAAGGGUCCGCAUGGGCACUUUCUGGAAAGUUUUUCGGUUGGGGAUGGGCUCGCGGCCUAUCAGCUUGUUGGUGAGGUAAUGGCUCACCAAGGCGACGACGGGUAGCCGGCCUGAGAGGGCGACCGGCCACACUGGGACUGAGACACGGCCCAGACUCCUACGGGAGGCAGCAGUGGGGAAUAUUGCACAAUGGGCGAAAGCCUGAUGCAGCGACGCCGCGUGAGGGAUGACGGCCUUCGGGUUGUAAACCUCUUUCAGCAGGGAAGAAGCGAAAGUGACGGUACCUGCAGAAGAGGCACCGGCUAACUACGUG